GAUGAACGCUGGCGGCAUGCCUAAUACAUGCAAGUCGAGCGAACAGACAAUGAGCUUGUGCCCUUGACGUUAGCGGCGGACGGGUGAGUAACACGUGGAUAACCUUCCUAUUAGACUGGGAUGAUUUCGGGAAACCGGAUAUAAUACCGGCGAAUAUAUUGUACCGCAGGAUUCAGUAGUGAUAGGCGGUUUUGCCGUCACUUUUAGAUGAUUCCGGGCCGGAUUAGCUAGUUGGUAAGGUAACGGCUUACCAAGGCGACGAUGCGUAGCCGAUCUGAGGGGGUGAUCAGCCACACUGGAACUGAGACACGGUCCAGACUCCUACGGGAGGCAGCAGUGGGGAAUAUUGCGCAAUGGGCGCAAGCCUGACGCAGCAAUACCGCGUGAGUGAUGAAGGUCUUCGGAUUGUAAAGCCCUGUUGUUAGGGAAGAAAAGAUGUAGAAGAAAAUCUGCACGUCUUGACGGUACCCAAAGAGAAAGCCACGGCUAACUUCGUG
rnacentral:rRNA from 1 species